GCCGAGGUUGCCAAGUCAGGUCAAAGGCGGUGGACUCAAGAUCCACUCUCGUAGGAGUCCGUGGGUUCGAAUCCCUCCCUCGGCACCA
rnacentral:tRNA from 1 species